rnacentral:snRNA from 1 species
GGAUGUGAGGACGAUCUGGCUGCGACAUCUGUCACGCCAUUGAUCGCCAGGGUGAUCUGCCUGGCUAGGCGGGUGUCCCCUUCCUCCUCACGCUCCAGGUACAUCCCUCCUGAGGCUGCACGCUCGGUAGAAGAGGACGACCAUCCCCGCUAGAGGAGGACCGGUCUUCGGUCACGAGUAGCUGUGCUCCCCUGCUAGAACCUCCAAACAAGCCCUCAGAAAGACAGACAGAAAGAGCUUCCAUCCACUGAUUCACUCUUUAAGUGGCCAGUCCAAACCCAGGAAUCAGGAGCUUCUU